rnacentral:rRNA from 1 species
ACGUAGGGUGCGAGCGUUAAUCGGAAUUACUGGGCGUAAAGCGUGCGCAGGCGGUUUUGUAAGCCAGAUGUGAAAUCCCCGGGCUUAACCUGGGAAUGGCAUUUGGGACUGCAAGGCUGGAGUGUGGCAGAGGAGACUGGAAUUCCUGGUGUAGCAGUGAAAUGCGUAGAGAUCGGAAGGAACAUCUGUGGCGAAGGCGACUAUCUGGGCCAACACUGACACUGAGGCACGAAAGCGUGGGGAGCAAACAGGA